rnacentral:rRNA from 1 species
AAUGGCAGGUCAGCAUACUGCCGUGAAUACGUUCCCGGGCCUUGUACACACCGCCCGUCACACCAUGAGAGUUGGGAAUACCCGAAGCCUGUGAGCUAACUUAUAGAGGCAGCAGUCGAAGGUAGAAUCAAUGAUUGGGGUGAAGUCGUAACAAGGUACC